ACUUCUUAGAGAGACAAACGGUUUUCCAGCCGUAUGAAAGAAAGCAAUAACAGGUCUGUGAUGCCCUUAGAUGUCCGGGGCUGCACGCGCGCUACACUGAAGGAAUCAGCGUGUGGGAUAACCUGGUCCGAAAGGAUUGGGUAAUCCGGUGAAAAUCCUUCGUGAUUGGGAUCGGGACUUGAAAUUAUUUCCCUUGAACGAGGAAUCCCUAGUAAGUGCAGGUCAUCAGCUUGCGCUGAUUACGUCCCUGCCCUUUGUACUGAGCG
rnacentral:rRNA from 1 species